UGAAAACGUUGUCUAUCUCGAA
rnacentral:miRNA from 1 species